AAUGAAUAAGGAGAUGAUUUUCCAUUUCUGGCCCCCGAGGGAGUUUUUUUUUUUAAUUUAUUUUGAGGGGAUCAAGAUACUCUGAACUUUAGGGAGUGCUGUAAUUUACUGGAGAGAGGGGACACAAAACUCGGGGCCCCAAGCAAUUGGUGGGAAACUAGAUCUCAAAGCAGAAAAUGAAAAGUCGAUCUGGGGGAAGAUUUUUAAAUAAGUGGGUCAGAGGGACCGAGAGGAGAUGAGGCGAUCAAUCUUAGCCCCCUGACAGCUCCCUCCGAUGGCAUCAAAGAAUUUGGCUCUUUGGGAAAGCAGAGGGAACAGCCGAAAUUCCACAUCCCUUUAAAAGGCCUGGGGGUGGGGGGGGGAAUAGCAAAAGAGAAAGGUGAUUCUGGGAGAGCGGGGAAACAGAUGGGAAAUGGGGACAGAGGGAAGGACGCUGAGUUGGGUGGAAAGUUUGUCUGGAGAACUCCCACGGCUCGGGCCUCCCCUCCCCCUCCUCCUCUCCGCUGCCGGGCAAGGAGGAGAAGGCUGGUUAGCAGAGAAAUGGCAACUCAGCCGGGAGCUGGAACUAGAAACUUUCUGUCAAUGUAACAGCCGCGUGGGUGGCGACCCAAUGGUGGUUGGGCUCCGGGUCACGUGACGACUUCUUUGUAGCUCCGGAAGAGAACUGUGAAGUUUAGGUUGCUUGGAAGAAGCAGUAAACGGCCAGAUUUUGUUAUUGUUGCUGUUGUUGUGUAAGGGGUGGCCAGGAAGUUGUGGCCAAAGGAGCAAGAAGACGAAAGGUCAAUGAGAAAAACUGAGAAGCAAGAGAAUUGGAAGGGGGGAAAAAUCAAGAUUUGGAGAAAUUAACCACAGAGAUGGAAGGUGUGUUAAUUUGGGCGCUUCUUGGAUUCUACCCUGAGGAGGAGGCGCAUGGUGAGAGGAGAGGUCUGUGUAGAUCUUGAUCUGCCGCUCGCUGAGGUUCAGCAGGUUGGCCAUCUCCACGCGGCGCGGCCGGCACAGGUAGCGGUUGAAGUGGAAC